GACGAACGCUGGCGGCGUGCUUAACACAUGCAAGUCGAACGGAAAGGCCCUGCUUUUGUGGGGUGCUCGAUUGGCGAACGGGUGAGUAACACGUGAGUAACCUGCCCUUGACUUUGGGAUAACUUCAGGAAACUGGGGCUAAUACCGGAUAGGAUCUCCUGCUGCAUGGUGGUGGUUGGAAAGUUUCGGCGGUUGGGGAUGGACUCGCGGCUUAUCAGCUUGUUGGUGGGGUAGUUGCUUACCAAGGCUUUGACGGGUAGCCGGCCUGAGAGGGUGACCGGGCACAUGGGGACUGAGAUACGGACCAGAAUCCUACGGGCGGCAGCAGUGGGGAAUAUUGCACAAUGGGCGGAAGCCUGAUGCAGCAACGCCGCGUUCGGGAUGACGGCCUUCGGGUUGUAAACCGCUUUCGCCUGUGACGAAGCGUGAGUGACGGUAAUGGGUAAAGAAGCACCGGCUAACUACGUG
rnacentral:rRNA from 1 species